UACAGAGGGUGCGAGCGUUGUCCGGAAUCACUGGGCGUAAAGGGCGCGUAGGUGGCGACCCAAGUCGAUGGUGAAAGCUCGCCGCUCAACGGCGAGUCGGCCACUGAUACUAGGUUGCUGGAGCACUGUAGAGGCAGAUGGAAUUCCGGGUGUAGCGGUGGAAUGCGUAGAGAUCCGGAAGAACACCGGUGGCGAAGGCGGUCUGCUGGGCAGUUGCUGACACUGAGGCGCGACAGCGUGGGGAGCAAACAGGG
rnacentral:rRNA from 1 species